rnacentral:ncRNA from 1 species
CACCGCCCGUCGCUACUACCGAUUGAAUGGUUUAGUGAGGUCCUCCGAUUGGACCCGGUCCGGGCGGCGACGUCCGAGCCGGCGUCCGAGAAGACGAUCUAACUUGAUCAUUUAGAGGAAGUAAAAGUCGUAACAAGGUUUCCGUAGGUGAACCUGCGGAAGGAUCAUUA